CUGGGCUCGAACGGGUAGUCAACGCCGGUGGAAGCACUGGUACCCCGCAAGGGGGUCUAUUCGAGGUGCUGCAUGGCUGUCGUCAGCUCGUGUCGUGAGAUGUUGGGUUAAGUCCCGCAACGAGCGCAACCCUUGUCCUGUGUUGCCAUCAUUCAGUUGGGAACUCGCAGGAGACCGCCAGCGAUAAGCUGGAGGAAGGUGGGGAUGACGUCAAGUCCUCAUGGCCUUUAUGUCCAGGGCUACACACGUGCUACAAUGGACGGUACAAAGCGCAGCGAACCCGCGAGGGGGAGCCAAUCGCAAAAAACCGUUCUCAGUUCGGAUUGCAGGCUGCAACUCGCCUGCAUGAAGCUGGAAUCGCUAGUAAUGGCAGAUCAGCACGCUGCCGUGAAUACGUUCCCGGGCCUUGUACACACCGCCCGUCACAUCACGAAAGUGGAUUGUACUAGAAGUCUGCAGGCUGACCCGCAAGGGAGGCAGCGGCCCAAGGUAUGAUCCAUGAUUGGGGUG
rnacentral:rRNA from 1 species